GAUGAACGCUGGCGGCGUGCCUAAUACAUGCAAGUCGAGCGAACAGACGAGGAGCUUGCUCCUCUGACGUUAGCGGCGGACGGGUGAGUAACACGUGGAUAACCUACCUAUAAGACUGGGAUAACUUCGGGAAACCGGAGCUAAUACCGGAUAAUAUAUUGAACCGCAUGGUUCAAUAGUGAAAGACGGUUUUGCUGUCACUUAUAGAUUGAUCCGCGCCGCAUUAGCUAGUUGGUAAGGUAACGGCUUACCAAGGCAACGAUGCGUAGCCGACCUGAGAGGGGGAUCGGCCACACUGGAACUGAGACACGGUCCAGACUCCUACGGGAGGCAGCAGUAGGGAAUCGUCCGCAAUGGGCGAAAGCUUGACGGAGCAACGCCGCGUGAGUGAUGAAGGUCUUCGGAUCGUAAAACUCUGUUAUUAGGGAAGAACAAAUGUGUAAGUAACUAUGCACGUCUUGACGGUACCUAAUCAGAAAGCCACGGCUAACUACGUG
rnacentral:rRNA from 1 species